rnacentral:rRNA from 1 species
UACGGAGGGGGCGAGCGUUGUCCGAAGUUACUGGGCGUAAAGCGCGUGUAGGCGGGUUGCCAAGUCCGCUGUGAAAGCCCGAGGCUCAACCUCGGAGGGUCGGUGGAUACUGGCAGUCUUGAAGGUGCUAGGGGGAGAUGGAAUUACCGGUGUAGCGGUGAAAUGCGUAGAGAUCGGUAGGAACACCAGUGGCGAAGGCGGUCUCUGGACAGUUCCUGACGCUGAGGCACGAAGGCCAGGGGAGCAAACGGG